UACGUAGGGCGCAAGCGUUGUCCGGAAUUAUUGGGCGUAAAGAGCUCGUAGGCGGCUUGUCACGUCGAUUGUGAAAGCCCGAGGCUUAACCUCGGGUCUGCAGUCGAUACGGGCUAGCUAGAGUGUGGUAGGGGAGAUCGGAAUUCCUGGUGUAGCGGUGAAAUGCGCAGAUAUCAGGAGGAACACCGGUGGCGAAGGCGGAUCUCUGGCCCGGUACUGACGCUGAGGUGCGAAAGCGUGGGGAGCAAACAGG
rnacentral:rRNA from 1 species